rnacentral:rRNA from 1 species
UACGUAGGUGGCAAGCGUUGUCCGGAUUUAUUGGGCGUAAAGCGCUCGCAGGUGGUUCGUCGCGUCGUGCGUGAAAGACCCCGGCUCAACUGGGGAGGGUCGUGCGAUACGGGCGGACUGGAGGCCAGUAGGGGGAUGCGGAAUUCCGGGUGUAGUGGUGGAAUGCGUAGAGAUCCGGAGGAACACCAGCGGCGAAGGCGGCAUCCUGGACUGGUCCUGACACUCAGGAGCGAAAGCGUGGGGAGCGAUCCGG